rnacentral:lncRNA from 1 species
CAGCCUCUCAGCCACACAAACCAGGGAACAGACUCACCCUCCUGAGGAUUAACAGAACUAGAAAGAGAUUAGAGAGUCAGGUUAGAUAGAUUAAAGAAUAGGAACUGAAAGCUGAUGUCAGAAUGGAAUGCUUUAAUUAUUACUAUAAAAUAAGCUAUAUUAAUAAGUAUUAACAAUAAAGUAACUGUACCACACAAACAUGUUUGUUUCUCCUUCACUGACAGAUUACAGAUAGAAAGUGCUGUACAAAACACAUCCGCAAUUUCCAUAAGCACAUAUUUAAGUUCUGUAGCGCUAUUUAUCAAUCCUAAAACAAAUGAAGUUGUAAAGUAUGAAUCAAUUUCCGCUUUAUUAAACUACAGAGACAAGGUUUAAAAUAAAUUACAUUCUAGUGAGCGGCCCUUGGCCUUCCAGACGUGAACAAAGCAGUCGUUCUAGACCACUCAUCUUUGAACUUCUCCCUUCUCAAGCCCGUAAAGGAAAUGAACGCAUGCUCUCCCGCGCACACUUUUCCAUCGACACCUAUAAUGACUCGUCGUAAGUUUAAGCAGAUGCAAAGAAAGUGAUUUCCAAUGUACUGUAAAUCUUGACAUUUUGAAAUAAACCACUACUUUCUGAAAUGAAUCCGAUGGAAUCUAAAUGCCCGUCGUUACCCAUUUCAAUACUACGGAAACCAGCUCUUCAACAACAUUCCUUUUUUUCUUUUUGAACUUACACUUUCAUCCUACUUCCUCCAAAGAAGUUUAUUGGACAGUGGCCUCUUUUUAUGCUGACAGAUCUAUUCCUGACGAGCUGCUCAUUCUUCUUGACUACAAAAGUAUGUAUUUACUUCAAAACUUUGAACUUUACUGCCUAUGACCUUAAGGCUCUAAGUAUUCAAAAAACUUCUUUCGAUUGUGUUAGCAUUACAAUUACUAGCAGCACAGACUUGAUAAAAACAUGACAAAUUUUGAUCAAUUGAAAGUAAAAUUUUAGUGGAAAUUUAUGACUCACGCUUUUAAAAUCUAGUUGAAAGCAGAGAAUCGCAAACCACUCAACAGUGAUCCUCAAACCGGCAGCCGGCGAUUCACCCGCAGGCCCCAACCGUCAGGACCCAGGACCUGGGCUGCCAGAGGAAGAGCUUUCCUCCCAACGACGGUAUCUGUUUCAUGACCAAGAACUACCUCCAUUUUGCACCUCACGUAGGUGGGGAAAUUGGACAAAGCAUAUGGGGUGUCACCUCUAUCCUGGAUAGUCAGCUAACGCUGAUCCCCUGGAGAAGCCUUCACCCCUGGGGGUCCUCACACCCCCAGUUUGAAGAUCACUGUUCUCUCCACUUUGGUAUAUAUUUAAAUUUCCAUAUAGUAAGUAAACAUACAUAGAUACCUACAUAUAUAUUUUAUAUUUUUAUAUAUACAUACAUAUAUUAAUACACACACACACUGUCUCUCUCACACACACACACUCGGCCUGGUUCCACCACCAGAUUCUAAACAUAAAUUGGUCUGGGAUAGAGAUGGAUUUCAGUUUUUUCAAGUUCCCCGGCUGAUUCUAAAGUGCAGCCAAGGUUGAUAACGACUGGAUUAGGGCUAAAAUGAGAGAAAAAAAUAUUCCCCUCAAGCAGCAUAAUCAGUACAGACUCCUGCUACACUGGGACCAGCACCGUGGGCAGCGUCCGCAGGGCACGCUCUUUUUCUGUUACCCUUUGUGCUGGAAGGAGAAACCCUCGCCUCUGCCACGAAGAGUCCGGGAGCGGGAGCAGGGUGGGAACUUGGGGCGAGGAAGCACCCUGCCUCACGCAGAGAGCAAACUGACAGCUGGAGACUCGAAGGAGACGUGCUUUUUUUGCUUUUUUUGUUUCAUCAACUUUUUAAGAGACCCCACGCAACCACCAUAAGUGUGGCAUCGUUCCACUGUCUACUGCACUGCAGGGCCUUCUCUUCCUCUGUACACAACGUGUCUUGUUUUCCUCUGGCUGCUUUAAAGAGUUUUCUUUUCAUUAAUGGUGUUCAGCAGACAGAAAAACAAUAGAAAAAUAUCAACAAAACCAAAAGCUGGUUCUUUGAAAAGAUCAACAAAAUGCACAAGGUUUUAGCUAGACUCACCAAGGAAAAAAAGAGAGGACUCAAAUUACUUAAUGCAGGAAUAAAAGAGGACACUUACCAACCUUACAGAGAUGAAAAGAAAAAAGGAUUACAAGGGAAUACUAUGGACAACUGUAGCUCACGAAUUAGAUGAUUUAAAUAAAAGGAACAAAUUCCCAGGAACACACAAAAUGCUGAAACUGACAUAAAAAGAAAUGGAAAAUGUGACGUGGUCUAUAAUAAGUAAAGAGAUCACAUUAGUAACUUAAAAAUUUCCACAGAGAAAAGCCCAGGCCCAGAUGGCUUCACUGAUGAAUUUCACCAAACAUUCAGAGAAGAAUAUCAAUUCUUCACAAAUUGUCCCAAAAAACAGAAGAGUAUACACUUUCCAACCCAAUCUAUGAGGCCAGUAUUACCCUGACACCAAAUCAGACAAAGAUAACACAAGAAAAGAAACCAAAUAUCUCUAUUGCUUAUAAAUAUAGAGGUAAAAAUUCUCAACAAAUGCUAGGAAACCAAAUCUAGCAACAUAUAAAAAAGAUUAUACACCAUGGCCAAGUGAAAUUUAUCCCAGGAAUACAAGGUUGGUUUAACAUCUGAAAAUCAAUUAAUGUAAUAGACAACAGGAUAGGGUAAAGGGCGGGGAAAUAUGGUCAUUUCAACAAAUGCAGAAAAAGCAGGGAAAUUUCUCAGCAUGAUGAAGGACAUCUGUGAGAACUUCACAGCUAACGUCAUACUUAAUGGUAAACGACGGAACCCUUUCCCAAAAUGAGGAACACGCAAGGACGUCUGUUCUAGCCACUUCAUCACUGCGCUGGAGGUUCCGGUCAGGGCAAGAAAAAGAAGUAAGAGGCGUCCAGAUCAGAAAGGCAAGAAGUAAAACGGCCUCUAUUUGCUUUGGAAAGAUCUUAUACAGAAAACCCUAAGUAAUCCACACAGAUACACAAAUAUUAGACUAAUAAAGAGUUCAGUAAAGUUAUAGAAUACAAGAUUAACAUACAAAAAUAAAUUGUAUUUCUACACUCUAGCAAUGAACAUUCUGAAAACAAAAUUAAGAAAACAGUGCCAUAUACGAUACUAUCAAAAAAUAAAAUACCUAAGUACAACUUUAAGAAAAGAAGACUUAUACACUGAAAACUACAAAACGUUCAAAGAAAUUAAAGUUCUAAAUAAAUGGAGUGACACCCAUGUUCAUGGAUCAGAGGACUUGAUAUUGUUAAGAUGGUAAUUCUCUCCAAACUGCUGUACACAUUUACCACAGUCUCUACCAAAAUCCUGGCUUUUCUGCAGAAACUGACAAGUUGAUCUUAAAGGUCAUUUGCAAAUGCAAGGGACCCCAAAUAGCCCAAACAAUCUUGAGAAAGAAGAAUAAAGUUGGAGGACUCAUAGAUCGAUCCCUAUUUCAAAACGUACUGCAGAGCUACAGUGAUCAAGACAGUGUCACACUGGGUGUACAGCUAGACAUGUACAGAUCAACGGAACAGAACUGAGCAUCCAGAUAUCAACUCUUCCACGUGUGGGCAAUUGAUUUUUGACAAGGUGACAACACAAUUCAAUGAAACAAUAGUCUUUUCAACAAAUGGUGCUAGGACAACAGGAUAUCCAUAUGCAAAAACAAAGCUGGACUCCGUCUCAUACCAUAUACAAAAAUUAAUGCAAAAUAGAUCAAAGACCCAACUGUAAGAACUAAACUAUAAAACUCUCAGAAGAAAACAGAAGCAUAAAUCUUGAUGACCUUCAAUUAGGCAAUGGCUUCUCAGCUAUGACACCAGAGGCAAAAGUGACAAAACAAAAAAGAGAAAUUGGACUUCAUCAAUAUUAAAAACUUUUAUGUGCUUCAAAGGACACCAUUAAGAAAGGAAAAAGAACCCACAGAAUGGGAGAAAAUAUUUGCAAAUCAUAUUAUCUGAUAAAAGCCUAGUGUGCAGAAUAUAUAAAGAACUCUUACAACUCAAUAAGUAGUAAGACAACCCAACUAAAAAUGGGCGAAAGAUCUAAAUAGCUAUUUCUCCAAGGAAGAUAUACAGAUGGCCAAUAAGCACAUAAAAAGACGCUUAACAUCAUUAGCUAUCAAAAAAAAUGCAAAUACCACUUCACAACAACUAGGGUAGCUAGAAUGAAAAAAGUCAGAUAAAAUGACAGGUGUUGGUGAGGAUGGAGAGAAGUUGGAACACUCAUGCUGGUGGGAAUGUAAAAUGGUGCAGCCACUUUGGAAAAGAGUCUGGCAGUUCCCAAAAUAUUAAACAUAAAGUUAGCAUGACCCAGUAAUUCCACUCCUAGGUAUAUAUCCAAGAGAACUGAAAAACACAUUUCCAUACAAAAAUCUGUACCCAAAUAUUUAUAGCAGCAUUCUUCUUCUUUUUUUUUUAAGAUUUUAUUUUUUUCCUUUUUCUCCCCAAAGCUCCCUGGUACAUAGUUGUGUAUUCUUCGUUGUGAGUCCUUCUAGUUGUGGCAUGUGGGAUGCUGCCUCAGCGUGGUCUGAUGAGCAGUGCCAUGUCCGCGCCCAGGAUUCGAACCAACGAAACACUGGGCUGCCUGCAGCAGAGCGCGCAAACUUAACCACUCGGCCACGGGGCCAGCCCCAGCAGCAUUAUUCUUAAUAGUCAAAAGGAAACAACCCAAAUGUCCAUCAAUUGAUGAAAUAAAAUGUGGUAUAUCCAGACCAGGGAAUGUGAUUCAGCAAUAAAAAGAAAUGAAGUGCUGACACAUGCUACGACAUGGAUGAACCUUGAAAAUAUUAUACUAAGUGAAAGAAACUAGCCACAAAAUACCACGUUAUAUGACUUCACUUACAUGAAUUGUCCAAUAAGCAAAUCUACAGAGACAGACGUAGGUCAGGGGUUACUUAGGGCUGGGGGCUGCAGAAAUAGGGACAUGACAGCUAAAGGGCAUAGGCUUCCUUUUUGAAGUGAUGAAAAAUACUCUAAAAUUGACUGUGGUGAUUGGAGGGGUUUGUUUCAGGGAGGACAAAGCUGUUGUAAAGUUGAGUUGGAUGAGAGUUGCACAAGCCUAUGAACACUAAAAACAUCAACUUGUACACUUUACGUGCGUGAAUCGCAUGGCAUGUGAAUUAUAUCAUAAUAAAACAUUUUUCAUCAUUAUUUUUCAACUAUUUUCUCCUCCCUGCCCCCUCUGAGAUUCUAGUUAUUCAAAAUUAUAUUUCGUAAUAUUGCCCCACAGGUCACUGACGCUGUUCAUUCAUUUUUCAGUCUUUUUUUCUUUGUUUAGUUUUUGCUACACUUUCUAGUUCACUGAUCUUUUCAUCAGUGUCUAAUCUUCUUUUAAACCUUUCCAGUGAAUUAUUCAUAUAAGAUAUUGUAUUAUUUCAUUGCUAGAAGUUCCAUUUGGUUCUUUUUUUAUAUCUCCAAUUUCUCUCAUCAUGGUAUUUGUCCUUUUCUUUAAAUAUUUGAGCAUAUGUAUAAAAAUUGUUUUAAAAUCUUUGCUAAUUCCAUCAUUUUAGUCAUUUCUGGGUGGUUUCUAUUUAUUGGUUUUUCUCCUGGCUAUGGUCACAUUUUCCUGCUUCUUUCCAGGUGUAAGUUUUUACUGGAUCAACACGGUAAGCACUACACUGUGGAGUGAAUUUUCCUGUUUCCUUCAAAGGGUGUAAGACCGACUGUGAGGCAGAUAGGUUCCUCGUGAAUCAUGCUGAGCCCUCAAGGCUGUUGUUAAGCCUGUAGGUGAGUUUACGGCAGUCUUUACUCUGGGCUGGUUCAGCCCUGUGCCAAGGGGUGGCCUGUCCAGGGUCUCUGCUGAAUGCCCUGAAUGUGUGCCUCUCCACUCCGGCAGCUCAGGACACAAAUGCUUCCCAGCCUUUGAGCUCUGGGAAUCGUUCAGCUGACAAGUCCCCAUUCUUGGUCCAGCGUGAUGGAGUUUCAGCAGUAUACUUGAGGAACUCCUACAGAGACUUCUGGGGGUCUUCCUUUGCAUAGGUCCCUCCUCUCUGGUCAUCUGCCCUACACAUUCUAGCCACCUCUUUGAACUCCAGUUGGCCUCUUCAACUUAGUAAGACGACUGUGCUCUGCAUGGGAUGCCCCUCUCUGCACCUUAGUCUGGAAAGUGCCUCAUUAUGGAUGGAACUGUGUUCUCCCAAAAUUCAUAUGCUGAAGCCCCAAUCCUCAAUGUGACUAUAUUUGGAGACAGGGCCUUUAGGGAGGUAACUGAAGUGAAAACAGGUCUGAAGGUGCGACCCUAAUCCCAAAGGACUAGUAUCCUUAUAAGAAGAGGCACCAGAGAUCGAUCUCUCCCCAUAGGGGCACAGAAGGUAGGUCAUGUGACGACAUGGAGAGGACGGCCAGCUACAUGCCAGGAAGAGGCCUCGCCAGAAACCAACCCUGAGAGCACCUUGAUUUUGGCCUUCCAGUCUCCAGAACACGAGAACAUCAAUUUCUGUUGUUUAAGGCCCCAUCCGUGGUAUUCUGUUAGGGCAGCCAGGCUGACUAACACAGCCUCCAAGGAGAAUGCCUGGCCCACCGUAUGCAGGUCCUUGCUAUUUUCCUUUCUCUUGGGGACCAAGGUCCUGCACUGCCUGUUGUCCAAUUUCUGAACGUAGUUGUUUCACAUAUUUUGUCUACUUCUAACUGUUUAUUCAGAAGGUUGUUCGCCGGGUUUCAGUUACUCCAUCAUGGCCAGAAGCAGGAGUCCCUGUGCAGCAUGUUUUUAUCUUUUAACUAAAUGAUUUUCAGAAAUUUCUGAGAAGAGGAAAAGCUGGAGUCACAACCCCAUCCCAGGGACCCUUGAGAAACCUUCCGUCACUGCCCACUGCCUGGGGUGGGAGUGAGCGUCCUCUAUUCUCAGGCAGCCCAGCACAGUCCUGGCAAGAUUUCCGAUGCCAGCAAGACAGCACUGCUAGGUUUUACUCACACUUGUAGUGACAUGCCAUUCUCAUUGAGUCCAAGAGGGUAAUCAGUUUAAUUUCCAUCAUACAAUUUUCCUUGUAAUUAAUAAGAAAAAUUAAUCCCCUAAGUGCUCAGCACCCUUCCUGAAAUCAAUUCACACAGGGCCUAGAGUGUUGUCCCUGGAGACUAAAGCCUCGGUCACAUGCUGGACGGGGCCACAAAGGGCAAGGACGAUUUCUCAGAAAAACAAGACAGAGCAAUCACACCAAACAACUACGCACUUGAAUUACAGUGAAACUCAUGCUCUCAGGGCAAGAAGGCAGGCUCCUCAGCCAAUGAGCAGAAAACAGUUAUGAAGAGGACGCAGAUGAGACUCAAAGGUUAAAAGUUAAAUUGUAAACAUGAGACUUUAGAUUUAAGGAGGAUAAUUCUAAGGGAGUGUAAGUUUCAGAUGACACUGAACCCUAAAGUAAAACUCCAGAACUCUGACCACAAAAGCUGACACUGAUGUUUUGAAAUCGAAUAAAUUCUGUAUAUACAUCCAAAGUCAAAGAUGUCUGAAGAGUGAGAUGCUAUGAGGAUGCCAGAAUGUCUGACCACCUCUUCUCCCUCCACUCCCACCCGUAUAUCCUUACUGCAGCCAGAACCACCUCGGAAAACCCAAAUCCGGUGCUACUGCUCAUCUGCCCCAAAGCUUUCCUUGGCUGUCAUCUGGAGAAUGCAGCCCAAGCCUUCCACUCUCAAUGCCUCAACCACCUACCCACAAUCACCCACAUCACCCAUCGCUCCUGCCUCCCAGAUGCUCUAUGGUCCAGCCCCUCCCCCUACAGGAAUUCUCACAAAGACUCUGCCUGCAUCCCGUCCCCCGCCCCCGUUUACUGAGCAUCGUGUCUUCAGGUGCAGGCCACGGCCCCCACUCUCCUCCUGCAGCCCUCCUGGAGGCUUCUUUGCCAGGCCUUGGCCCAUUCUGCUUUAACAUUUGUGUGGUUCUCUCUCCUGCUCCGCUCUAAGCUCCCUGAACGCAGGAAUUGUUACAUAUCUUCCCGUGUGUUGCCCUCCAGCUUCCUAGCACAGCAACUUAUGCUUUCAAGAAACUAAACGGAAACAUUAUUCUGAAGUUGGAAAAUGCAAGAAUAGGAGUGACUGUCAAGUUACGGACUUGCUUGGCCCUCGGUGCAGACUCCAAAGCUAUUUCUCCCCUUCAAUCAGCCUAAGGAAAGGCGGAAGCCCAGAGGAUUACAACGCAGGCUAUUUUAAUUGUUGGAAGACAUUUCUGGACUCUACUGAUCUGGAUGUUAAUCAACUCUUACCACCCAACUCAUUAAUACAGAUGCCUCAGGGGGGAAAGAAAACCACCUAUGCCAAAGCCAGUCUUUCUUCCUUUUUUAAGUUAUAUUUCACAGCUGUUUCUGAUCACAGCUUCACUUUUCCACACAAGUUCCAAGGAAACAGGAACUUCCCUAGAACAAACUGUGAAGCCUCUUUCUGUACCCGUUCCGUCCUCUGGGGCAGCACAUUACCAGCGACAAGCCCUCAAGAUCCUCCUCUGACUUUUUUCCCUAAUCAAAGAAGGACUUAAUAAGAGCCAUUUCUUUGUUGGAUUGUUACAUUUGACAAUCCCACAAAAAUGUCCGCCACUUUUAAUUUAGUCUUUUUUCAAUAUUGGAAUGAAAAGCUUCCUCUUUAAAGGAAUUUUAAACAUUAAUAGGAAAAAACCACUCAGGGAGGUAAAAGAGACGCUUUGAAACCACAUCCAGCCUCCUUGAUAGCAAAUCCUUCAGGAUCGGCCAGGAAAGAAGAGCCGCCCUCUGCCACCCCUGGGCCAUCAGGCUGCGGCUCUGUUCCCCAGGGCCAGCUGGAGGCUGUGGUUACCAGGCUCCAUUCCAGGACCCCGAGAGGCCACUCUGCCCGGGCAUGGGUCCACUGACUGGUCUCUAUCUCCCAGUCUUUUCUUCUCCUUUCCCAGCACCCUCCUCAAGCUCUGCAAACCUAAACCGAGGGUUCUCAAUAGCAACCCUAUUAACAUUUUCGACCAGAUUCUUCUUUGACACGGGAAGCAGUCUUGGACAUUGUAGGAUAUUUUGCAGCAUCUCUGGCUCUACCCACUAGGUACCAAGAGCAACACACCAUUCCCUACCAGUCACAACAAUCAAAGAUGUCUCCUCUCUGGGGCCAGCAUGGUGGCACAGCAGUUAUGUACAUACGUCUGCUUCGGCAGCCUGUGGAUCCCGGCUGUGGACAUGGCACCGCUCAUCAAACCUUGCUGUGACGGGCGUCCCAUAUAUAAAAGAGAGGAAGAUGGGCACAGAUGUGAGCUCAGGGCCAGUCUUCCUCAGCAAAAAGAGGAGGAUUGGUAGCAGAUGUUAGCUCAGGGCUAGUCUUCCUCAAAAAAAAAAAGGUCUCCUCACCAAUGUCCUCCAGAGAGUAAAAGGCCCAGUUGAGAACCACUGUCUCAACUAACACAUUCAUCCUCCAGCCAUGUGUCCACAGGCAACGCUCACAGGACCGCCACUUCAGCCUUCCUCAAGCCUUUGGGAGCCUUCUGUCCUCAGCAUGUUCGUCAUUACUUUCCUCUGCACAGUAUUUAAUUAGUUUUUUGGUAUUGUAACUCUUUAUGUAACAUUUUAAAACUCAUAGCUAUGCUUCUCCUAUUAUCUUUCCAGAUGCAUCUUCUAGAUACAAAUUUCCUGGAACACGUCCUCUUCAGUCACUAAUAAUUUUUAAGCAUAGUGCUUUACUGCAGAUUAUCCACAAAGUCUAAGUUUAAAGGAAAUGGCUGUAGGGUAGAUUGCUUUGUUUCCUGAGAUAGUGUGUGCACACGCCCCGACACCCCCCAAGAGGAAUACGAUGCAAUGGAGGAGUUACACACCUCAGGAGAAAUGCAAUUUUCUGAAAUACGCAUUUUGCCUGAAGAUUUAGGAAGUUAUUAAGAAUAAUAAAACGAAGUUAUGUUAAAACCCACAUGAACAAUUUGGAGUGAAAUGAAUUUUUUGCAUGAAUUUCAAAAUAAGAGACACCAACAAAAUUGCAUUUUGCAAUGGGUCACGUCAAGCAUGGUCCCAGGCAGACUGAUGCCUCAGCAGAAGUGAUGGGAAGCCCCAGCUUAGUGGAAUGGAGCAUCUUCAUUAAAUUAAAACCACAAAACUUCAAGAGAACACAGGAGCCAAACUCCAGCUCAGAGGCAGGUGUGGUGUUUUUAAAGCCGUCUCAUGGGUGAGGUAACUGCCUUGCCUGGGGACUUGUCACUGGGAGUCUCUGCUACACGCUCUGCAAUUCAGGGUGAGAGGGGUCAGGAAACUGCAAUUCCUAAACCCACUUUUGGGGGAGGGUCUUUCCAGGUGGGGAAAUGGGCUGAGUCGACCUGCAGCUGGAACUUAGUUAUGCCAGGACAAGACUUUGUCGUGUAACCUCGCCCUCUCCUCUGGGGUCUCCUGUACUCCCUUGCCUUUUUUUUCAGUUUAGUUGAUUUGACAAAUUCCAGUCCAUCCUAGCUAACGUAAAAGUAAACCAACAGUUGUGCAGUGAACCCGAGCUUACAUUUUCACGUUGGCUUUGCUACUGUCUCUUCUCUUCACACCAGAGCACCUGACAAAGCCCUCUUUGCUUUACCCUCCCCUCCUCCUAGACCUACCAAGGCGGCAGGAUUGUUUUCUUGUUUCAGCAUUGUCGCAAGCUAUAGAAUCAAGGGCAAGAUACUUAACCUCUUGUGGUCUUUUCUUUAGAGUACAGAGAUAGAUCGCAAAUCUCUCACAACACCACAUGUUCAUAUAUCUGUAUAACAUGUUAUAGAAUUUUACUGGCAGAACCACAUUUAUAAACAACCUACUGUUUAAAUACAUUAUAUAUUUUAAUACCUUAAAAAUAGUGUCUCAUCUCUAGAUCUUAUGGGCUACUAAAAGAUAAAAUCCAGCAGCAGUUUCUAAUACACUUCAAAAAAUGUUUAGGGGAAAAUGUCAUCAGCACACUUUCGUGCAAACAGACCUGCUCUUAGCAACUCGAGUAACAACAAACAAAGGAGCAAUAAUUGUUUUCUUCUCCAGUAAGAGUUGCUAAUACACAAAGUAAAUGACUAGAGCCAGGGCCCAAGGGAGUGUUGGUAGCAACCUGCGGUGCAGGUUCUAACACUUUUCUUUAUUAACCAGGCCAAGUGACCCAAUGUUGGCUCUAUCCACUCCAGAUGACUCCCAAAUAGCUAAGCAUUGAUCUAAGCAGCUUGUAACCACAGAGCCACAAACUUAAACAAUUAUGAUCCUGAAUAGGAAGAAGGUUGGGUGGAGAGAGUAAAGUCAAUAAUUAGAGGAAAGGAAGGGUUAACACAUGACAAAAUUAGUAGAGUGGCUAUCAAGGGUGAAACAGAAUCCAGAGGAGUGUGACCGAAAUUGUACAAGAGUACUUUUCUGGGACUUUAUCCAUGCUCUCACCCCCCCAGCCCCACGCAGUCUUCUCCCCAUUAUGGUGGAGGCACUGGAGAAACGGGGCCAACUUAGAUGGAGAGUUCUGAUAAUCACAUCUGAAUCCCUGAGGCCAAUUCUGCACCAGACUUCUCACUGACACACACCGAUAAAUCCUUCACUUUUGGCGGGACUGACUUGUUCAGAUGGGUUUCUCUAGUGAUUUAAAGAGUUCUAUUAUGGUUACUACAGAACAACUGAAACUAUGCAUUUUGUCUACUCAGAAUUAUAAGAAUUUAGAUAGAUUUGUUUUACGUGAAAAUCGCGAUCAGCUGUCACUAUAAAACAUAAGCAUAAUGUAGGCUUGUUGCCUGCUUUAUUCUGAGAAAAUCUAGCAAUUCAAAUCAGUUAUUUUAUACUCAAAGAUUCAACAUUUCGUUUUAAAAUAUCCAUCUAAAAAUUUUUUAAAUACUAACCAACAAAGAAUAAUGUGUUGCAUUGAUAAAAUAGAUUAACUGGGACAAUUAAGUCCUCAAUUUGUUUUCUCCUCUCUCACCUCAUUCUGUUUCUCUCCUCUUCCGAGUUCCCAUUUUCCUGAAUUCUUGUUCUUAGUAAGUCACUCUAUAAACGUGAAGCAAAUGUGCAGAAUUUCCUUCUGCUCCACGAUCUACAUUUUCUUCCAGGUUGAGUCGUAGUCUUUUGCUUUCUGCUCCAUGGUACAGCACUUCUCAGAUAGACCACAGACGGACAGCACCAGCGUUAUCUGGAAGCUUGGCUGAAACGCAAAUUACUGGGUCCCAUCUUAGACCAACUGAACCAGAACCUCUAGGGAUGGGACCCAGGAAUUUGUCCCAAUGACUCUCAGAACACGGAAGUUUUAAAACCAGGCUGUAGGACGGCUGCACGGCUGAGGUUGUUUCUUCACUCUGCUCAGGCUUAACACAGGCAACAGAAGGCACCCUGUAAGGCUUCAGGGAGGAGGGGUGCCUUAACGCUCUUCCCACCAUAGCUGAAACUAGCUUAGAUUUUUCUUCAAGAUACAGUUCAGAGCUGGGUCUAUUUCUAUCUGCUUUUCUGAAGCCUAGGGAAAAGGAGCCAGGGACCAUAAAGGGAAAGGCCUAUCUGAACUCUGUUCUCUCCUCUGAGAUUGUUAAAUUGUCUACACCAGUCAAGAGGAAAAGCCUUCAUUUUAUUUCUCUCCAAAUUCGGGGAUGUUAGUAUGACUUUCUCAGGAACUGUCAAGGUUGGGGGCAAAGAUGGACAACGAUGGGAACCACUCCUCUCUGCGCCCCCAGCAGAGAGUACAUCACAGAGCUGGGGACAGUUAGGUGACACUGAAGCACACGCGGACAUGAGGCUCAAGGAGUUAAGGGCCAAGAGGGAGAUCUGAGUGCCAGUGAGGAGGGGCGACACGGGGUGUCAGCACUGGUUGGUUUAAGCAUCUAUUAGAAAGUAAAUAUAUUAUUUGAUGACAACAAUUUUACAACAUAAAAUUUCCUAAAUACAGUUAUCAUAUAAAGUGCUCUAGCACAGAUUUAAUUCCACAAAGGAGGGGUUCCUUUCACAUCAGCUUAAUAAAAGUUUAUUUUAACAAUGCUAGGGAGGUAAAGCCCCAAACUUUACAAUUCCUCACAUUUCUCUCAAAAGAUUUAAAAAAAACCUUAGUAUUAGAUAUCAAAUCAUGCUUAAAAAUUGUGUAGGCUAUUUUAAAAAUCUGAAUUAUUUAAAAUUAUGACAAUGAUAAAAUGCCAACCAAUUGAGGUCCCAAACUAAAAACAUUCAAAACAAGAAAGAAUCAUCAUUUGGACUCUGUUAUGUUUUCAGAGUGGUAAAGGGUGACCAACUCCUGUUGCCACAACGCUAAGUGCCGGAAGUAAACAAUGCAUUUAUAAUCUGAAAGCAAAUUUAUCUUGCACAUCUUGAUACUGACGUAUAAAGCCAUGUUUCGCCAACUUUUUUAUUAACAUAACAAAUAAUUUCUUCCACAAUAGCAACUGCAAUAAAACUCCAAUAACAUUAGCCAACUUGCUGUCAUGUUCUAUGGUCUUCUAAGUAAUACAGCACACAGACAUUUAUAAACUACAGAGCCACAUCAAUUUGUAAGCAACGAAUAAAUUUUGAAAUGUUAGGAAUAUAGUAAAACUACAUUCUAAAUAGUUUUGUUUUAACUUUCCCUUUUUCCUUAAAUUUUCUUUUUUAUAUUCAUGCUUCCCACUAAUUUUUUCACUAGACUCAAUUAAAUCCUAGAUUUAAAUAUGGCCAAAGAGAAAUCAACAAUAUUGGGAUGAGUGUCAACAAAACAGCUUUUAUCAGAGUCUAAGCCACUUAAAGUUAUUCUCCAAAAGAAAACUUAUUCACCCCAGGCAUACAUGGAAAAAGCUAGCCUCGAGUUUCAGGUUCACCAUGGCUGACCUGUCAGAUAUCAGGGAACGUCCAAGGCUCAAGGCUGGAAGGGCUAAAUGCCAAAGGCUGUCACCAGUGGAACGUCCCUCAGCUGAAGAAAACACCUGACACACUGGGCAAUGUGUCCAACCUGCAGAAGACAGGAGUCUGCACUGGCACCAAUCGAGUUAACAAGGUUGAAGCCCUAGUCACAGGUAACAAAGUGUUACCACGCUUGAAUAAUAACCUCUAAGGAACUUCCAGCUUACACUGCACGGACUCUCGCCACUGCAUGAACUCAGGGAACAGCUGCGCAGUCUUUAGGAGAAGGACAAGCCGGUGAAUCAAUUCUCUGCAGUGACUGAUUAGACUGACUUCCUGUCAGCUGGAGACUAUAGUAUGUUCACAAUCAUGAUCAUUACGACAUGCAGUCAACACAUACACGGUGACACAGCAAGUACACAGUGGUGGACCCAGUGCUGAAUUAUCUCCUAACUGUCCCUCAAAUCCCUGUACUGCCAGUAAAAAAUCUACACCGACCACUUCUAGUCCUAUAUGGAAGCUGAAGUAUGACUGUUGCUAUAUGACUGAUUUUCUACAUUGUGGUCCUAUUUCUGCUAAAGUACUCUUAUAGUCUUUAUCAACUGAAAUUGUUUUUUUUUAAACUAUCUUUACAGAACUCUGAAAGAUAGUAAAUUCACUGAAUAAAAAUUUUUUCAAUUUUCUUCCUCAAAUAUAAUAAAAUUGAUAUAUGUUAGACAAGUUAUCUCCAUUCUCCUAAUAUUAAUGUUGUAAUGAGGUUCCACUGAACUUCCCUUAGUGAGGCAAGUUUCAAUUAUCCUAAAAAUGGUAAAUGAUCUAUUAUUUGUGUGUGAAUCUAAAGUGCGUCCCUUAUCAAAUUAUUUAUCUGCAGGUCAAAAACAAAAAUUUAGGCAGACUGUUAAAUAUAAUGUUAACAGGUACGCUGGGCAAAUAACUCAAACUUUUUAUUUAACUUCCAUCUGCUUAGUUUUUUAUUGAGUUAAGUAUAAAGGCCAAGUUAAUCAACUCAUUAGACUGGUCAAGGCAAGACACUUGAACUACAUAAGGAUUUAAAAAGCGGUUGGUCUUUUAGUAAUUCUCUAGUAAUCACACACGCACACACACACAUACACACAAACUGGUAGAGUACUCUGGAUAUAAGAUUUCCCCCCAUAAUCUUGUAUAAUGCACUGUUCACAAUCUGCAGUAUUUUGAAAACUAUAUAAAUUUGACAUGACCAAAUUAAAGAUGUCUGAUAAACUCUUAUAAAGUAUUUUGGGAACUUCAGGUGUAAUCCCCAGAUGAUUGAUUUUAAACUAUAAAAAGGGAAAAUUCAUAUAAAAUCACAACAGAUUUAACAGACAUCUUUGAAAAGAAAUCAAAUUGUAACUCAAUUUUCUACUUUUUAAACUAUGACUAAGAAAAAAGGUAGAAGUCGCAAUGUCUACAUUUUUUAAAAACUAUUAACUGAGUGGAUUUGGGGAAGACAAAGAAAAGCUAUACAGUAUUAUUGCACUCCACGAAUGUGCAGAAUUCCAAAAUGUGCCAGCACUGAAAAACUGUCUUGCAUUGAGGUUUUCCAAGAGGUACAACGAGCCUGCCAAGAAAGCAUCGGGUCUGUACUAACAGCUUGCUGUCUUCAGUACAGGCCUUCAUACUGUCAGCCACGCUGCUCUUGCAAAAGUCCCUUAAUGUCUGAAAGAGACACAGAAAAAAGAAAGUUUUAUUUCAAAAUCUACUCUUGUAAAAUCAACUCAUCGAUCAGAACAUCUCUGCUAAGCAGAAGUUAACUAACGCUCACUUCUCCAGGUUCACACAUUUGCUUAUAAAUUUUCCAUCUUGAGCUGUUAAAAAGACUUUGCACACUCUUAGGAACUAGUUACUUGAUGGCAAGGAGAAGCUACGUAUAUAAACAUCCUAGCACAAUAUACCAAUUCUGGCCAUUAAGAGUUCACAGCCAAAAAGUGAUGUUACAGGCCCAGUUACUAAGCCUUGAAGAUAAAAUUAUUAGCACAAUCUCACUUCAUUUUGGCAGGUCCAAACUCUCUUGAUCAAUUAUAAAUUUUAAUGAACAAAACAUCCA